rnacentral:rRNA from 1 species
AUUGAACGCUGGCGGCAUGCUUUACACAUGCAAGUCGAACGGCAGCACGGGUGCUUGCACCUGGUGGCGAGUGGCGGACGGGUGAGUAAUACAUCGGAACGUAUCCAGAAGAGGGGGAUAACGCAUCGAAAGAUGUGCUAAUACCGCAUAUUCUCUGAGGAGGAAAGCAGGGGAUCGAAAGACCUUGCGCUUUGGGAGCGGCCGAUGUCUGAUUAGCUAGUUGGUGGGGUAAAGGCCUACCAAGGCGACGAUCAGUAGUUGGUCUGAGAGGACGAUCAGCCACACGUGGGACUGAGACACGGCCCAGACUCCGUACGGGAGGCAGCAGGUGGGGUAAUUUUGGACAAGUGGGCGCAAGCCUGAUCCAGCAAUGCCGCGUGAGUGAAGAA